GAUGAACGCUGGCGGCGUGCCUAAUACAUGCAAGUCGAGCGAACAGACGAGGAGCUUUCUCCUCUGACGUUAGCGGCGGACGGGUGAGUAACACGUGGAUAACCUACCUAUAAGACUGGGAUAACUUCGGGAAACCGGAGCUAAUACCGGAUAAUAUAUUGAACCGCAUUGUUCAAUAGUUAAAUACGGUUUUUCUGUCACUUAUAGCCUGAUCCGCGCCGCAUUAGCUAGUUGGUAAGGUAACGGCUUAGCAAGGCAACGAUGCGUAGCCGACCUGAGAGGGUGAUCGGCCAGACUGGAACUGAGACACGGUCCAGACUCCUACGGGAGGCAGCAGUAGGGAAUCUUCCGCGAUGGGCGAGAGCUUGACGGAGCAACGCCGCGGGAGUGAUGAAGGUCUUCGGAUCGUAAAGCUCUGUUAUUAGGGGAGAACAAAUGUGUAAGUACCUAUGCACGUAUUGACGGUACCUAAUCAGAAAGCCACGGCUAACUACGUG
rnacentral:rRNA from 1 species